rnacentral:rRNA from 1 species
AUUGAACGCUGGCGGCAGGCCUAACACAUGCAAGUCGAGCGGAGCGGCGGACGGGUGAGUAAUGCCUAGGAAUCUGCCUGGUAGUGGGGGAUAACGUCCGGUAACGGGCGCUAAUACCGCAUACUAUCAGAUGAGCCUAGGGCGGAUUAGCUAGUUGGGGGGGAAAAGGCCUACCAAGGCGACGAUCCGUAACUGGUCUGGGGGGAUGAUCAGUCACACGGGAACUGAGACACGGUCCAGACUCCGACGGGAGGCAGCGGUGGGGAAUAUUGGACAAUGGGCGAAGGCCUAAUCCAGCCAUGCCGCGUGUGGGAAGAAGGUCUUCGGAUUGUAAAGCACUUUAAGUUGGGAGGCGUUACCAACAGAAUAAGCACCGGCUAACUUCGUGCCAGCGGCGCGGUAAUUC